CAGUAAUAAAUAUUCCAUUGCCCGACACCCAAGAAGACACGAGACACAAGUGUUGGUGUAAACUAGGGCCACAAUUUUAUUUUAACUUUUAAAACAACAGCUUUAAGAAACAGGGAUUGGCUCUCCACUCCAUACAGUGCAGUAUCUAUAGGCAUGCAGCACCAGGACGAUACACCUUGGCUUUAGGCAGCCCCUAAUGCUCUAAAGCAGGGGCUGCCCAUCCUAGCAGGCCUAGGGCCAGGCCUCUGCCAUAUCCACACUCCCUGGUAGCCGUUCAGUGAUCCUGGAAAGCUUAGCCUGACAGAGUAGGCGGAUCCAGGGCAGAUGUCCCUCAGCUGUGCAGUCUCUGUCCAACCUAUAGCCAAAUGCUACCUGAAGGUGUUUACAAGCCUCAGAUGUUAUUCCCAACCGCACUGUACCUGCCAAAAUUGUGACCAAUAAGGAUUUUAAGCCUGACUUUCUAACUAAGGACUAGUACAGUUAGGAGCAGGCGAAAAAGGACACGCACCAAAGGCCAGCCAGGAUUCCAGGACAGGAAUUUAAGUGAGAAAGGAAGUUAGCUCCUUUGACUUCAAGAAAUAAAUCAUACGUUGAGCACUUGAGAGACAGAGACCAGACUGUUGGUAUGAGAAAGAAACACAGAUGAGGAACUGAAAAGCAGAGUAUGUGCAGGUUCUAAUGCAACACGCCCACCAACUGUCCCUGUUUACCAGGAACAGUCCCUAUUUUUUAGUACUUGUCCCUGAUGAAAUCACUGACUCUGCUCCACCAGUUUUUGCAUUUUAAACUUCUGAUAGCAUGUUGUUUGGGAGAAAUUAGAAGAAAGGAGAGUUUAAAGAUAGAAGUUAUAUACUACGGUACCACACUCCUUCCAAGAGACACACGCCGAGGCCUGAGACUUCUCUUCUCUGGAGCAGGAAGGCAGAGAGAUAAGAGCAGCAAUCCAGAGACUGAGCAGGGGUCCCAGAACCAAAAUGAAAUCCAAAAAAGAACAAAACCUCACCGUCCCAAGCACUGGGAAGACCGGGUUAGGAAAAGCCAGUAUGGAGCAUCCUGAUCAGCAGCCACUCUGGUUCUGGAGCCAUCAGCAGUAUGGAGAACUCCUAACUACAAGUCAACAUACUUCUCCAGUUGCCCCUGCUUCAAAGGACACCCAAUAAUUUGUAUGAACAGUAGCAAUGAGACAUAUAAGAUCAUCAGUCUGGAUCGUACUUCUGAAACAAUAAAGUUCAUGCAACUGAAUCCUCUUCCAUUUUGAGGUACUACUAGGUAUAACCUUAGUGUUUUGAUUCAAAGGAUUUAGAUUGGGGGGUAUCUGCCAUCCACUAUCCUGAUAGACUCUGUAGGCUGAGACUUACAGUCUCAGAUGACUGAGAAUUACAGUCAUUUAUAAGUUUGCACAUGACACUCAAAAAGGCAUUGUUAGAACUAAGCAAACAUUAAGAGAUUUUUGUGGUAGCUAGGUAUGGAUUCACAGCUUGUACCUGCUAUAAAAACUGUGUUGCUUGUCAGUUGUAUGAUAAAACAGCAGAGACAAAUGUAGCACUUACACAACCUGAUUCCUCCCCAGAUUCUACAUAGUAUAAAGUUGCUACUGAUAUUGUAGGGCAGGCCUGCUCAACUUUGGCCCUCCUACCAAUGUUGGCCUACAACUCCCAUAAUACCAGGUUAUUGGCCACUAUGGCUGGGGAUUAUGAGAGUUGUAGUCCAAAAACACAUGGGGGGGGGGCAAAGUUGAGCAGGCCUGUUGUAGGGCCUUUUGAUUUUGCCCCUAGUGGUUGUCAGCAUUACUAUUUUAGUAAAUGGCCUGAAGUAGCAUUUACAUGAGUAACUUUGGCCUCAGUUAUUUCAUUCACUUCAAGUGUGUUUUUGUGGUGGCCAGGUAUGGAUUUACAGGUGGUACCUGCUAUUAAAAAUUGUGUUACUUGUACAGUGGUAAAAAAAGUACCACAUUUACAACUAGAUCGAUAACCUGAUUCUGCAUGGUAUAAAGUCAACCAUCCUGACCAGCAGCCACUCUGGUUCUGGAGUCAUCAACAACAUAUCUCUCCAGUUGCCCUUGCUUCAAAGGACACCCAUUAAUUUUUAUGAACUGUAGCAAUGAGACAUGAGGGAUCAUCAUUCUGGACGAUCCCACAGUUGAACUGCACAACAAUUCAACUUCAUCUUCCCCAAAUCCUGUUGGGAUUCCUGUUGGUCAAUCAUCAUUUUCCAGGACUUGCAACUCCUUAAUGAUUCCAGGGAUGGACUCUAUUACUGUGGGCUUCGGAUUCACUGAAAGGAGAUAUUCAGAGAGGAUUGUCAGCUCAUUCAAGACUCAUACAUAAGAGAUAGGUCUAACAGAAACUGCUUGGAAGGCAAACGCUUAUACAGACUGCUGAAAGAUGAUCUCUCAGCCUUUGAGCGAUUUUCAUCCUUGCUAGGAGACUUGAAAUGUAAACAGAGAAGAAUAGCUUUUCCAAACAGCUGCAAUAGUCCUAUAAGAACUCACAACCCAUCUGACAUCCAAGACUCAGCCAAUCUUGUUUAUCUGCUCCUACAGCUGCUCAGAACACUUCCUUAGCUCUAUGUGAAUUGGGGUAACUAAACUUGCCAUAUAGUUAGCUUGUCCAUGGUUCACUCCAUAGUCUUCUGAAACUGUCUCUUCAAUGGCAAGCUCCAGCCUAUGGUCAAACAGUUCCAUACUAUGAUGUUAGAACACACUAACUGACGGUUGAUGGUUGCUUGCAAACUCAUGCUAUCUUAUAAUUGCCUCUUUGACAGCACCAAGAGGGAGACCUACAUUAGUUGUCAACUCCUCUUUCAAGUAUCAGAAUAAGAUAGGGAAUGAACUAUACAUCUAAAUGAGAAAGCAGAAUGAAAUGUAGCUCCAAAGGAAAUGCACUGGACUGCAACUGAAUGCCAGUCAAGCCAAGCAUCAGAGAGGAAGAAAUAGGGUAGUGCCUUGGUUGGCAAACCCCCUUUACUUAACAUUAAAACAAUCCCAUUUUAUCUCAAUAUUCAUUAAAACAAUCCCGGCGGUUUAUUUUAUUAUCAUUAUUUAAAUAUAUUUUAUUAUUUAAA